rnacentral:tRNA from 1 species
GUGCCUCUAGCUCAAUCGGUAGAGCACUGGUCUGUGGAACCAGUGGUUGAGGGUUCGAUCCCCUCGGGGCACCCCA